rnacentral:lncRNA from 1 species
AAAAAGUGUCCNGUUCUGGCUUCUUGACAGUGUUAGAGAGAUUUCCCAGGAAUAUAUCAUGUCUGCUACAACGAUUCAAGUUGCCAUGUGUGCUGCAUUGCUCACAGGAGUUAUGGGUCUACCAUUUGUCCCCGAGGAUGAAGCCAAUCAGUUCUUAAGACUUAAGAGACAAAUACCUUAUUCGGGCUACUGGGACCUGAGUAACAGCCAGAAUACGUGGGAUUCGAUCUUGGCUGAACAGGCUGAAGAAUACUGGACGGCACUGAGAACAACAGCACAGUAUUAUUUGGACCUGCGGCCAUUUGGAUAUGAUGUUGGUACUGACAGCAGGUAACACACUAACUCUUACGUGGAAUUAUCGUGGCAAUCUGAUGAUGUGCAUCUUCGAAAGCAGAAAUGAAAAUGAAAGUGACAUUGAUUCUUGGUGUGCUUUGGUUCAUCUUUUAUAUCAUCUUGACUCUAUAUCAGCACCUCAGACAGACAGUAUUAUCUAAGGAACAUUCUGCAAAUAUUGAAAACUGUUCCAGUGCAGAAUCUAUAGGCCCAGGAACUUCCUACCAAAAAAAGUUUACUUGUGGACAUUGCUAAAGCUUAUGUUUAAAUGAGGCAUUACUUGAAUUACACUGUUGGCGAUUAGCCAAAUUGCUUAAAUCCUUAUUUUGAUGAUAUGAGGGAACUUGGGACUUGAUAAACCCGAACCAAGUUUUCCCCAUUACUCCUGGGUAAGAUGUAGCCUAAGAUCCAGAGAUGCAAUGGGUAUAGAAGCCAAUGCAGCCAUCCACUGAUUAGGCAAAAUGGGUGAUCAAGUUCUUUCUUCCUAUCACUCUGAAUAUGAUAUUUAUUGAUUGAUAGAAUAUAUUUAUACCAUUAAUUGUGAAUCAUUUGACAAAGAUUUUAUAGCAACCUCUGAUAACUGUUGAAAUGUUGACAUUGUGGAAGGUGUGGGUCUAAAUCCGGAUGUCAAAGUGUGCUGCAAUUGUACAUAUUGCUAUUCUGUCUUAGGUGGUAAAUGAUCAUUAGUGUGCAGCUUUUGAGAGAUUUUUUUUAAAAAAAACACAUGCCUUAACUUUCUAGUUGCAGAUAUUGCAGGUGGAGUCUCUUCUGCUCUGGUGUAUUGGAACUUAAUGUUGUCCACUUACUACAGGGAGUCAUGUAGGAGGACUCCAGAAUCCCUAUAGUAAAAUAUCUGAUACAUCAAGUGUAGGUGUCAGCAUGAUACAGAUGGCAUAGAUCAGGGUCUGAAAAUCCAAGUCCUUUUUCAACAAUUGAAGCUGCAUUGUUUUCAUAGUCAAUCUUGGCCGUGAAGAGCACCAGAGACAUUUUUGCAUCCAGACCGGGAGGGGGGGAUAUAGUGCCAAUAUGGUGCUACUAUGUUUGGGUCGCCACAAGUAUCUGUGGCAACCCCACCAUAGCUAUGCUAUAACUCCCCACAAAACAUUCAUGGCGGGAUUUCCCGAAACAGCACUAAAACUUUCCUUGUGGAUGCAGGUGCCAUCGUUGUUCGACUCACCANGCAUACGUAUGGGCCAAAAAUACAGCUGCACAUGCACGGUGAUCACAAUUGUGAACUUCUGGGUAUUUCACACUAGCAAAAUACCUGGAAGCACAUAGCUUCCAAAGCACAAAGACAGAGCAGUCCCUGCACUGUUAGGACAGCAGACAAUUAUUCUGGAGGAGCUUUUCUCCAGAAUAUUGCCUUUUGGCACUUUAUUCAGCUGGUGUCUGGAGCCGGCCAAAGUAUUAACUUUUCUGAAAUUUUUGCCAGAUAUGCACAAGGAUGUUCCCUAUAAGACAUAAAGUAUCCUAGACAUAACAAUCAUCUUAAGUGUAUUAACAUUAUAGAAUAUAUUGAAAUGUAAGAAUUUCUGUUUAUUCAAAUUCAACAAAAUCUCUUUGGUCAAUUUAUUCAAGUUUAAUAUAUUCUAAGAUUAGUAAUAAUGUCAGGAUACAGACAAGAUUGAUAAACAGGCAAUACAUAGCAUUAUGUUUUAUUACCAAUCAGAAUUAACUCUGAUUUUGAUGAGUUAAUUGAAUAUGCAAUUACUUGCCCAAAUGAAUUAAUCUACUGUUAAAACUGGAGCUGAGGACUGAAGUUCAGGAAUGAACAAUAGAAAACUGUUGGAACAGACAGCUAGGUUAUUUUCUGAGCUAUUAUGAACAAAACUGUGAAUGUUAAAACUUUAACAGCACAUGCCAGAAGUGUCAGAUAUAGCCUGCAUCUGCUGACAUGAAAAGAAGUGGCUCAAAAGUGAUUAGAAGUGGCAGCAUGUAGCAAAGUAGCCCAGCUUACAUUUCCAUCCUAUCUCUAAUCCCCAUUAAAUGCCAGAAUAUUCAUUUGGAACACUAGCAAAUACCAGGUACCAUUUUUGAGAUGCUAUUUUUACUGCAUAUGGAUGCAGUCAUAGACUGAAGAUCAGAGGAUGUAAGUGAAUAAUCUUAUCUAGUUCCAGAGGGCCAUUGUAGAAGGCACACAGUCCCCUGUUCUGGAAUAUUGGGGAACUCAUUUUGGCGUUGCAAUGGAGAGCAGCACUGAAAUUUCCCCCCAGGAAUACCAAAGGCCAGGAAUAUUCAUUUUGGCAGGAUCUAACACAACAUGACAUUUCCCACUGGACUGGGCUGGUUGUGGCCUGGAUUGAGUGAUUUGGUCCAAGAUUGUAACGGUGACUGGCAGCCUGUGCUAAGGGCUCGUGCGAAGAGCCAUAUGCAUUACAGCAGCGCAGCCCAACCAUGGGAACACUUUGGAGACUGUUUUAAAGCAAUCUCACUGAAGUGGGCUAUGCACCAUUUUGAAAUAAAGAGAUUUUGAGAUAACUGAGUCA